rnacentral:lncRNA from 1 species
CAGAAAGCCGACUCCUAAAGGAGGCUGGUGUUGAGCCAGGCCCUUAUAUAACACACCUACUUGCUAUAAACAAGAGCACCAGAGAAAGGUUUCCAAUUGGAUUGAAAGUGUUCCCCCUUUUGUCUGCAGUUUGGACAACUUCAAGGCUGUAAAGAUGAGUCUACCCCACAUAUAUUAUUGUCCUUACAUGUUCUCUCCCUUUUUGUUCUCUCCCUUCUAACUCAACCUUCAACUCCCUAUCGUGGAAGGAAAUAUAGUUGUUGUGUGUGUGCAUGUGUGUGUGUGCCUGCGUGCAUGCAUGUAUGUGUGAAUGUGUGCGUGUGCGUGUGUGUUUCUCAGCAUAAUCCGCUUUAGCAGGCUGCUAGAUCUGACCAGUAGCAGCAGCUGUGGCAGCUGCAGCAGUGGCUGAUUGCACUGGAAGGGCAUGGAUAAGCCUGUUUGAUGGAACCAAGAAGGAAGGCAUUUAAAACCUUCAUGUCUUUCUACUGCUCUUUGCAAGCCCUCAUUAGCUUCACUAGAGGGAAAACUUAUCUUGUAGGGUUCAGUCGCUGUCUUCCUCUGGGCACACAGCACAAUCAGGAGGGAUUUCCAUUCAAAAUAAAGGAGGUGGAGUUGGAUUUUUAAAAAGAGAGAAAGGGAGAAGAGCAUACUCUCUCUCAUCUGCUGAAACUCACUGAGCCAGGUGACCUCCUGAAAAGGGUUUUUGAAGGCGUCUCUCAUAAGAUGGCAUUUGAGCAGAGACCUGAGGAAGUGAAAGAUGGAGGGCUGAAGCUUCCAGUUAGAGGAACAAGCAAAGACCCCGAGCAGGAUCAGGAAAGUGUGGUAGAGACAUAAUCAAAGAUUCAGACAAAGAUAUAACUACAGAAUGCACAUGACGGUUUUGUUAAUACACCAAAAGGAAAAAAAUUAAAUAACGGACUCUCCCAAUAAAUUGUGACCAUCUAUAGUUUGGAAUAACAUGAAGAUUGUUAAAAACUAUGUUUACAAGAAUGGCAAUAACAGAGAAACACUUGCUAUAUAAUUUUCACAAUAACAAGGUGAAGAAAUAUUAUAUAUAUAUAUAAUAAAAUUCAAAUUUUUAAGAGAAAUUAAAAUGUAUAGAAAACAUUGGAAAAGGAUACACUUAAUAAUCUUUUUUUCAGCAUGGUAGAAUUGUGGGUGAUUUUUGUUCCCUUUAUAUUUUUUAAUACUUUGUACUUUUUAAUGACAAAUGUAUAUACUACCAUUUAAUGAUAAAAAUAUAUUUUUAAAAUACUGGAUAAGAAUUAUUCAAAUAAAUGCCUUAUUUAAAAGUUAAA